rnacentral:tRNA from 1 species
GCCGUACUAGAGAAAUGGUUAACUCGUCGGCCUUCUAUUGCACAAGUCAAUAAGCCGAAGAUUCUCGGUUCGAGUCCGGGGUACGGUG